AGUGAACGCUGGCGGUAGGCCUAACACAUGCAAGUCGAACGGCAGCACAGUAAGAGCUUGCUCUUACGGGUGGCGAGUGGUGGACGGGUGAGGAAUACAUCGGAAUCUACUUUUUCGUGGGGGAUAACGUAGGGAAACUUACGCUAAUACCGCAUACGACCUACGGGUGAAAGCAGGGGAUCUUCGGACCUUGCGCGAUUGAAUGAGCCGAUGUCGGAUUAGCUAGUUGGCGGGGUAAAGGCCCACCAAGGCGACGAUCCGUAGCUGGUCUGAGAGGAUGAUCAGCCACACUGGAACUGAGACACGGUCCAGACUCCUACGGGAGGCAGCAGUGGGGAAUAUUGGACAAUGGGCGCAAGCCUGAUCCAGCCAUACCGCAUGGGUGAAGAAGGCCUUCGGGUUGUAAAGCCCUUUUGUUGGGAAAGAAAAGCAGCAGGUUAAUACCCCGCUGUUCUGACGGUACCCAAAGAAUAAGCACCGGCUAACUUCGUG
rnacentral:rRNA from 1 species